rnacentral:rRNA from 1 species
UACAGAGGGUGCAAGCGUUAAUCGGAGUUAUUGGGCGUAAAGGGCGCGCAGGCGGCCACGCACGUCCGUUGUGAAAUCGCUCGGCUCAACUGGGCGGGGUCAGCGGAUACGGCGUGGCUGGAGCAAGCUAGGGGGCAAUGGAAUUCCCGGUGUAGUGGUGGAAUGCGUAGAUAUCGGGAGGAACACCAGUGGCGAAGGCGGUUGCCUGGAGCUUUGCUGACGCUGAGGCGCGAAAGCGUGGGGAGCGAUCCGG